CUCCGAGUCCCCGCAACUUUGCGCCCAGGACUCUAGAGCGACGAAUGGGAAGAAACGACACUUAUGCCAAACUGGAAACUCCACAGCCUGCCUUAAGAUUCUUCUGAACGGUGGGUAAUUGGCCCUCAGAGAGGGGAAUAUUACCAAUUUGUUGACCUGCGAACCUAUGACUAAACGAACUAAGUUGGGAAGCUCGUGAAAGAGAAGGUCGAGAUCUUGUUUAUCUAUCACGAAUCGUUUUUCGCAAUAACUAAUGUCUUUUUGCAUGUGCAAUUGCAAUUGCAAGGAAUACUAAAGUUAAUGUGACAAAUAGUUGAAACUACAACUGUUUUUAUCCUUAUGUAACUUGUCAUUACUGCACUUUUCCAUGAGCCUAAUUCCUCUUAUGCCAAACCGAUCUGGAUUUUUAUGCAUUUGGAAGCUGAAUUAGCAAUGUUUCACGGUUUGAAUAUAAGCUAAAUUGUCUAUUCAGAAGAUAAGUAUCGUACCCUAAAGAGACAAGGUAUAAUCAAGUAGAUAAAUGUUUCUUCCUCCAAUUACUUGAAUAAUGGCUUAUCUAGUACUUGCAAAUGUGUAACACAGGUUUCACGAAGAAAGGAAAAGAUUUUAAAGGCAAUGCCAGUUAUCUUUCUUUAUGUAGAACAUGAGUUUCUACCAUUGUGUUUUUUGUAAUCAUUCUCAAAUAAAGGAAGGAAUGAUGCCAUAUAUAUAUAUAUAUAUAUAUAUAUAUUUAGGGAGAGGUUCUAA